AUGAGAAGAUGCAAUGGUUCCAUGCACCAGGUAUGGUUGAAGGAGAUGCAUGGAUUUUUGACACCAGAAGCAGUCCACAUGUGAGUGUCAAAUUGAACACAGAAGAC
rnacentral:rRNA from 1 species